rnacentral:rRNA from 1 species
UACGGAGGAUGCGAGCGUUGUCCGGAUUUACUGGGUGUAAAGGGCGCGUAGGCGGGGAAGCGAGUCAGGUGUGAAAUCUAUGGGCCUAACCCAUAAACUGCACUUGAAACUGUUUUUCUUGAGUGUCGGAGAGGUAGAUGGAAUUCCUAGUGUAGCGGUGAAAUGCGUAGAUAUUAGGAGGAACACCAGUGGCGAAGGCGAUCUACUGGACGAUAACUGACGCUGAGGCGCGAAAGCGUGGGGAGCAAAC